GCGGCCGGGGGGCCGGCCGUACUGCGGCGCGGGGGUGGCGGUGGCGCUCGGCGGCCGGUGGCGAGGCCGGGGCCGGGGCCGGGGCGGCCGGGCGCGCCCUCCCCCCAUCCCGGCCCGGCCCGGCAGCGCGUGCUCGGGGCGGGUGGGGGGGUGGAAGGGAGCGCGCGCGCGUCGGGGAGAGGCGCCCCCGCGCCCCCGGCUGUGCGGGCCUCGCCGCGCAUGCGCGGGCGGAGCGGGGCUGAGGGCCCGCCGGUGAGGCGGCCUGUGGGAGCCGUGGGGCAGGGACGGGCCUUGCCCUUGGCCCUGCUGCGCGGUGGCCGUGGGGCGCUUCGUUUCUUUCUCUCUUUUUUUUUUUUGUCCUUUAAAAAGCUUUUUCUGCGCCCUCCCCUGCCUGGGCGCUGUUGCCGCGCUGGGGCGCGCUGAGCCCGCGUACGCGGUGAGGAGGGGGCGGGCCCCGCGGGAGCGGCCCGGGACUGCGCCACCGGAGCGGCUUGGCGGCGAACGGAGCCGUGAUUUAAUCAUGCUGUGAUUAUCGGUGACCGACUGGCCUAGCUGCCAGGCUGUGUGUUUCUGGCAGCAGGGCGUCCGUGUGCGAGGAGAAAGCUGUCUGCGGCCAGGAGCCCCUUCGUGGUGCCGCGGGGGUUGCCGGCCUCUGCCUGAGGUUGAAUUUCCAGCUAGGUGCAGGUCACAAUCUCUCCCGAAAUGGCGUGGCUCCUGUUUCCGAACUGCUGUGGAGCAUUCAGGGGAUGCUUUGACAUCAUCAUGCCUGGUGCCCAGGGUCUGUCCUGCAGAGUUUGGGCUGUAUGCCAUCAGCUGUCCGUGUUACAGAGCCUGACCUACUUAAGACUUCCACUCCCUGUUAGAAAGCGGGUUUGGAUUCCCACCACCGCCACCACAACCACCACUUGGGAGUAGUUCUACCUGAAUCCUUAAAAACCACCGAGGAAGACUAUCCUGGAUGUAGCUACUUAAGCACAUGUGCAGUAGCCGUGACACGCUUGUUCCUGCUUGUUCCUUUCUUGUGUGGCAAGGGGCCCCAGCAAGGCUAAUCCUUGUGGUUCACCUGGUUUAUUUUCUGCCCAACUCCAGUGGGUCUUUCUGGAAGAGCAUCUAAAACGGGCAGGCACCUCUGCCUUGAAUGCAAACCUGAAGGAGGGUUGGGAGCUUAAUGUAAUUACAGUCAAAGGUGAUAGGUUGUUUUAAUUAAUGGAGGAGAAUGCAGCCUCCAAUUUGAAGGGCUUUGAUUGUUCACAUAGUAGAUAGCAAUCAGGAGAAAGUUGGUCUUUUCAACAGUCGCAUACAGGCUUUAACAACUACAGGUAAAAGAGGCCACUUCAAACACUAUGGAAAAACA